GGUGGUUGUAGCUCAGUUGGUUAGAGCACUGGAUUGUGGUUCCAGGUGUCGUGGGUUCGAAUCCCAUCUUCCACCCCCA
rnacentral:tRNA from 7 species